AAAAUUUGUAACAAAACUUUUCUGAACAACUAUUAAUUUUGUUUUAGUACCACAACAUAUUGAAAAAUGUAUCAAAAAUACAAAUUCAAAUGUAAAAUCAAAUAUUUUGAUUUUCCGAUAACAUAUUUGCAAUCGUUUCUCGAAUGUUUGCCAUAUGUUGUCCAUAUGCAUUUUCUGCUUCAUCAAGCUCAAAUGAUGCAUUGUUCUGAUCUUCAGUUUAAGUCUCGGUAAAAUAUUCAACAAAAUAUGCAUUUGUAAAAUUAGAAACUCUUAUAAAAUUAUGGAAACCCAUUGUUGCGAUAAUUAGUCUCCUUGGAACAUCCAAAUCAUAUCUUGGAAAAUCAGUUAAAAUUCUCCAUUUCUUCUUCCAUACUCCGAAAGUGCGUUCAAUUAUAGACCAAAGAGAUGCAUGAGAUCAGUUAAACAAUUCUUCCUUGUUUUUCGGAGGAGGACCGGUAUAGAACUGUGACAUGUGGUAUCUCAGAAGUCUAUUUUGUGUUGACCUAUAAGGCGCUAAAAACCCUUGCUUAUUAGGAUAUCGAGAGUCAACUACAUAAUUGUCUCCCGGGGUAAAGGAAACUCAGAAUCACCAUUUUACGUGAGUGAAAGGACAGCUGUAUCAUGGCAUGCACUCGGUGCUCCAUUCCAUACAUAUGUGAAUAACAUAUUUAUAUCACAUAUUGCCAUUACAUUGAUACUUGCGUAGUUGUGUCGGUUCCAAUAAAUGGCUUGUAACUCAGGCUUUACUUUGACACACACAUGAGUUCCAUCCAUAACUCCAACAAAACCACUUAAAUAUGGCCAAUAUCGUCGAUCAACUUGUAGACGUUGAGGAAUCCGAAGUAAUUGUUGUGUUAUUGGUGUCUUGAUGUAAUCUGAGGCAAGAAGUUAUGUAGCUUCCAACACUUCACUAAACUUUCUAUUCACGGUUUCUUGGUUUCGUCCGAAUCGUAAACCAAUAUCUCGUUGAAUUUCAUUGUGUCCACACACUCGUAGAAACAUUGCAACACUCUCUUCAACACUUGCAUUCAAUGAAGAUUGUAACCCAUAAUUUUCUUUUAAAAUAGAGCAUAGUCCUGUGAAGGUAGCAAACGACAUUCUCAAUAAUUGUAGACAUGCAGCAUUGUCAUUUUGAAUACGAUCCCAAAGAAUUAGCCAUCCCAAUCCUCUACUUGUUUUGGAUAGUCCUUUUUGAAAGUCCUGUGAAAGUAAUUCAACGUUGGAUUUAUUAAAAAUUCUUCUAUUUGCUCAUUUUCCAAAGGCUAUAACUCAAAUAUUUCUACGUCAGAUAAGUUGUGAAUUUCUUGUGAAUGUAGUUGACAAAUUCGAAAAGCCUGAAAUAACAUUAAAAUACAUAAGUAACAAGAA
rnacentral:sRNA from 1 species